rnacentral:rRNA from 1 species
AACGAACGCUGGCGGCAUGCCUAACACAUGCAAGUCGAACGAGACCUUCGGGUCUAGUGGCGCACGGGUGCGUAACGCGUGGGAACCUGCCCUUAGGUUCGGAAUAACUCCCCGAAAGGGGUGCUAAUACCGGAUAAUGUCUUCGGACAAAAGAUUGAUCGCCUUUGGAUGGGCCCGCGUUGGAUUAGCUAGUUGGUAGGGUAAAAGCCUACCAAGGCGACGAUCCAUAGCUGGUCUGAGAGGAUGAUCAGCCACACUGGGACUGGGACACGGCCCAGACUCCUACGGGAGGCAGCAGUGGGGAAUAUUGGACAAUGGGCGAGAUCCUGAUGCAGCAAGGCCGCGUGAGUGAUGAAGGCCUGAGAGUUGUAAAGCUCUUUUACCCGGGAUGAUAAUGACAGUACCGGGAGAAUAAGCUCCGGCUAACUCCGUG